rnacentral:rRNA from 1 species
UACGUAGGGUCCGAGCGUUGUCCGGAAUUACUGGGCGUAAAGAGCUCGUAGGUGGUUUGUCGCGUUGUUCGUGAAAACUCACAGCUCAACUGUGGGCGUGCGGGCGAUACGGGCAGACUAGAGUACUGCAGGGGAGACUGGAAUUCCCGGUGUAGCGGUGAAAUGCGUAGAUAUCGGGAGGAAUACCUAUGGCGAAAGCAAGUUUCUGGGCCGUUACUGACGCUGAGCUGCGAAAGCUAGGGGAGCAAACAGG